rnacentral:tRNA from 1 species
GGCGCAAUAGCUCAGUGGUAGAGCUCCCGAUUCGCGUGCGGGGAGAUCCGGGUUCGAUUCUCGGCUGCCUCC